rnacentral:rRNA from 1 species
AGUGAACGCUGGCGGUAGGCCUAACACAUGCAAGUCGAACGGCAGCACAGUAAGAGCUUGCUCUUACGGGUGGCGAGUGGCGGACGGGUGAGGAAUACAUCGGAAUCUACUUUUUCGUGGGGGAUAACGUAGGGAAACUUACGCUAAUACCGCAUACGACCUACGGGUGAAAGCAGGGGAUCUUCGGACCUUGCGCGAUUGAAUGAGCCGAUGUCGGAUUAGCUAGUUGGCGGGGUAAAGGCCCACCAAGGCGACGAUCCGUAGCUGGUCUGAGAGGAUGAUCGGCCACACUGGAACUGAGACACGGUCCAGACUCCUACGGGAGGCAGCAGAGGGGAAUAUUGGACAAGGGGCGCAAGCCUGAUCAAGCCAUACCGCGGGGGUGAAGAAGGCCUUCGGGUUGUAAAGCCCUUUUGUUGGGAAAGAAAAGCAGCAGGUUAAUACCCCGCUGUUCUGACGGUACCCAAAGAAUAAGCACCGGCUAACUGCGU